UAUGUGAUCGUCUCUCGCAUAUCAAUAAGCGGAGGAAAAGAAACUAACAAGGAUUCCCCUAGUAACGGCGAGUGAAGCGGGAAGAGCUCAAAUUUGAAGUCUUAAAGGGUUUCCCUUUACGAAUUGUAGUUUAAAGAAGUGUUUUCUGUUGAGGUUUUGGUAAAAGUUCUUUGGAAUAGGACAUCAUAGAGGGUGAGAAUCCCGUAUUUGACCUUUACUUUCAACUUUGUGAUACACUUUCAAAGAGUCGGAUUGUUUGGGAAUGCAGUCCAAAAUGGGUGGUAAAUUUCAUCUAAAGCUAAAUAUUGGCGAGAGACCGAUAGCGAACAAGUACCGUGAGGGAAAGAUGAAAAGAACUUUGAAAAGAGAGUUAAACAGUACGUGAAAUUGUCAAAAGGGAAGCGUUUGACACCAGUGUUGUUUUUCUGAAAAUCAAUUAAAGAACUGUUUAUGCUAAGUUGUUUAGACUUUAUCAGCUAACUGUUUAGUUUUGAGCUUUUCUUUAAUGCACUUUUCAGUUAACAAGUCAACAUCAAUUUCUUUUGCUGUAAAAAAGCUUGAGGAAGGUGGCUUGAGAUUCGUCUUAAGUGUUUAUAGCCUCUUGCCUAUGCAGUCGGAGAGAUUGAGGUCUGCAGCGUAGAUCCUUCGGGGCUAAAUGCAUUUGUGCUAAGUUAUAGCAUUUUAUAGACAACUUGUUGACUAUGAUUUGUCUUGUAGCUUACUUGCUUAUGUUAUUUUACCUACGCUUAGGAUGUUGAGUAGCGACAUACGCAC
rnacentral:rRNA from 1 species